GAUGAACGCUGGCGGCGUGCCUAAUACAUGCGAGUCGAGCGAACAGACGAGGAGCUUGCUCCUCUGACGUUAGCGGCGGACGGGUGAGUAACACGUGGAUAACCUACCUAUAAGACAGGGAUAACUUCGGGAAACCGGAGCUAAUACCGGAUAAUAUAUUGAACCGCAUGGUUCAAUAGUGAAAGACGGUUUUGCUGUCACUUAUAGAUGGAUCCGCGCCGCAUUAGCUAGUUGGUAAGGUAACGGCUUACCAAGGCAACGAUGCGUAGCCGACCUGAGAGGGUGAUCGGCCACACUGGAACUGAGACACGGUCCAGACUCCUACGGGAGGCAGCAGUAGGGAAUCUUCCGCAAUGGGCGAAAGCCUGACGGAGCAACGCCGCGUGAGUGAUGAAGGUCUUCGGAUCGUAAAACUCUGUUAUUAGGGAAGAACAAAUGUGUAAGUAACUAUGCACGUCUUGACGGUACCUAAUCAGAAAGCCACGGCUAACUACGUG
rnacentral:rRNA from 1 species